ACAAACUUGGUCAUUUAGAGGAAGUAAAAGUCGUAACAAGGUUUCCGUAGGUGAACCUGCGGAAGGAUCAUUAACGAAUCGAGCAAAGCGACCCAGCUGGCUGAUGCUGGCCCCCUCGGGGGCACGUGCACGCCCUGGGCGCGCCUCCAAUUCGCUUCACUUCCCCCCCUUGUGCACCCCAUGUAGGCCGCCGAUUGGCCUGGGUUGUGGUGGGUGGGGCCCUCUGGCGGGGCCCCCCCUUCCCUCCCUUCUCAGGCGCCUACGACUUUUUCCUGUAUGCACCCCGAUUGCAUGUAUGAGAGUAGCCUUUUUCGCUAUGCGAUAACACGAAAAUACAACUUUCAACAACGGAUCUCUUGGCUCUCGCAUCGAUGAAGAACGCAGC
rnacentral:misc_RNA from 1 species